rnacentral:rRNA from 1 species
CAGCAGUAGCCACGGUAAUACGGAGGGAGCUAGCGUUGUUCGGAAUUACUGGGCGUAAAGCGCGCGUAGGCGGUUACUCAAGUCAGAGGUGAAAGCCCGGGGCUCAACCCCGGAACUGCCUUUGAAACUAGGUGACUAGAAUCUUGGAGAGGUCAGUGGAAUUCCGAGUGUAGAGGUGAAAUUCGUAGAUAUUCGGAAGAACACCAGUGGCGAAGGCGACUGACUGGACAAGUAUUGACGCUGAGGUGCGAAAGCGUGGGGAGCAAACAGGAUUAGAUACCCCAGUAGUCCCUGUCUCUUAUAC